GGGCCCGCACAAGCGGUGGAGCAUGUGGUUUAAUUCGAUGCAACGCGAAAAACCUUACCAGGCCUUGACAUCCAGAGAACUUACCAGAGAUGGUUCGGUGCCUUCGGGAACUCUGUGACAGGUGUUGCAUGGCUGUCGUCAGCUCGUGUCGUGAGAUGUUGGGUUAAGUCCCGUAACGAGCGCAACCCUUAUCCUUAUUUGCCAGCACGUAAUGGUGGGAACUUUAAGGAGACUGCCGGUGACAAACCGGAGGAAGGAGAGGAUGAUGUCAAGUCAUCAUGGCCCUUACGGCCUGGGCUACACACGUGCUACAAUGGGAAGUACAAAGGGUCGCAAUGCCGCGAGGUGGAGCAAAUCCCAAAAAACUUCUCGUAGUCCGGAUCGCAGUCUGCAACUCGACUGCGUGAAGUCGGAAUC
rnacentral:rRNA from 1 species